UCGACGACGACGACGACGACGACGACGACGACGAUCGGACCGACCGCUCGCAGUAUACGCGGUAGCGGUUCAACAAACGUCCGCUAAAAAAUUCAAUGGACUUCCUGCACCGGAGCCUGCCCGGGCCUUGAGACCAGCGUAUCGAUGUCGUUAUAUAUUGUACACACUUACCUACACGUGUAUAGGUAUACCGGCGGAGUGUAUGUAUUGUCGUGUGGGUACCCUGGUACGUGUCAUCUCGAUCGCUUUAAUGAAAUGAAAAAAAAAUGUAAAAUACAUGAAAGUUCAUUGGAUUCCCGCCGGACCAGAAAUCUAUACGAAAACCGCAUUAACAAGUAUAUAGGCAACACUCACUUCAACUACCUGUGUAUAAUAUGUACACAUUCCUCUGCUUUUUCAUCAUAAUCAUAUUAUUAUUACAUGUGCUAUAUGUUGCAUUUUUAUAUUAUGAUGUAUAACGGUGUUGGGUGUCUGGUAUGAAAGAAGAAAAAUAUGUGGGCAUUUCUGAUGUACAAAAAACGUGUGGCAAUCACUUCCAACCCAGUUUGAUCAAAACAAGAAAUCCGUGACCCCGGAAGAAAAGAAAACGAGAAACGUAAAUGGUGCCACGACCUGCUGGAUGAAUAAAUAAAUAAAGCCACACGUCACGAAGUCUCAUCAAAUAUCAAUGGAUGGAUUCUUCGUUCAAGCCUCAUCAAUCACCUAUCCACUCUACACAACAUUCAUUUAUUGUAAAAACUAAAAUAUUAAUAAUUAUAAAAUAAGUAUAUAUUCAAGGUUAUCAUUAUAACUAGAAUAGUGAAUCUAUUGAAAUUUAUUUCGAAAUAAAUAAAAAGAAAAUGAAGAACUUUAG